GUGGGGUGGGGCUGGUUGUGGGCCAGGGACCUUUCUGAUGGACUCUGUCUGCCUUCCAGGGCAACAUCAACAAGAGGAGGAAGCUACAAGCUUUCCUGCCAGCUGGAGCCCAAAUCCCAGUAGGCCAGCAACAUCCUGCAGUGGCUGGGACCCCACCGGGAUGUUGGCCAGAACACCAGCUCUGCACCAUCCUUCACCCAGACCGUGACACCAGGGAACCACAUCUAAGGAGGCUGGCAGCUC
rnacentral:lncRNA from 10 species